AACGUAGGACACAAGCGUUAUCCGGAGUUACUGGGCGUAAAGGGCGUGUAGGCGGAUCGGUAAGUCUACUCUGAAAGCUCCUGGCUAAACUGGGAGAGGCGAGUGGAGACUGUCGGUCUAGAGUGAGGAAGAGGAAAGUGGAAUUCCGCGUGUAGUGGUGAAAUGCGUAGAGAUGCGGAGGAACACCAGUGGCGAAAGCGGCUCUCUGGAACGGUACUGACGCUGAGACGCGAAAGCGUGGGGAGCGAACAGG
rnacentral:rRNA from 1 species